AAAAAUACCUGGCAGAGGAGAUACCAUGAUCACGAAUGUGCUUUUCCCAGGGCGAGGCUUAUCCACUGCACUCCAGAUGUGCUGAUGCCUGCAAUUUCCCCAAAUAUGGGAAACUCGACUGCAUAAUUUGUGGUAGUGGGGGACAGCAUUCCCACUCUCCCCUA
ensembl:snRNA U1 U1 spliceosomal RNA